GAAAUAAAACUCUCAUCCCAUUACUUUUGUGGCUGGGGAGAGGAUUUGGCACACACAUUGUCAUUCAUUUGCAAAUGCAAAGUCACCCACUUGAAAGCCUGUUCGCUCUGAGGAGGAUAUAGUCUAUCAAACAAGAUCAAGGGUAUUUUUUAUAGACUCACAAACAUCUCUCUUUAUGUACAUACAUAAAAGGAGCUGAUAAGAAUAGAAUUUCUCUCACUGGGAAAAGUCCCCUAAGUAAAAAUACCCGGUUCUAUGAAAUUUAUUGAUCAUAAAGGGGAAGUAUUCUUGCAAAAGUGCUGCUAAGCGACUGGGGCUCUAUUGAUACAUAACACUCAUAUGGCUCAGUACUACUGAGAAACUCUCUCAUGUGCUCUCUGGGAAAAACCAGUUCAGACAAAUUCCUAAUGAGACUUUACCCAUCUUUAUAUCAGUUGCAGAUAGCCACUUGGCUGUAUGCCUACGGAUAUUAAACCCUGGAGGAUGGGACUAGGCUUUGCUUGGGGUCUCAUUCGGCCUGGCCCCUUCCUCACGCUCCGACUCUGUUCCCACUGGGCAAAGCCACAGCACUAUUCACUUUUUUCCUUAUCGGAAUGUCCUGUGACUUCAGAUUCUGAAAUGGCUGAAAACCGUCAAGAACUUCUAUUUUAUUUGAUUGCCAACAAUGAGAUAAGCAGCUCAGCUCCUGAUCUACACUGAGUGAACUAUGAAAUUUGAAUAAGAAAUAUGAACCUUUGGGUACCUUCUUGUGUGAAAAUUGUCAUCUUUCUAGUCCAAAGGUACGUCUCUGGGGACUGUAAUCCUAUGUGCAUUAUGAAAUGAUGUGGGAUAAGCCCUGUAGAGGAAGAACAGAAUACCAUCUAACUUGCAGUCAUCAUCUGGGAUAGUAACUGUCUUAAGUGGUAAAAAAUUACUGUCAGUGCUUUCUAGAGCCAUUAGGAACUUGCUGCACCCUGGAGUGCCGUGAGCCAUAAAAGCAGAGUGGAGAUAAACACACCCUGGGGUGUCAUGAGCUGUGAAGCACAGAUGUGUUCACCCAUAUUAUGAUAACCAUUGCUUAGAGAAAUCCUGUUUUGAGUAAAAGAAGAAAAAGAAGGAAAAAUGCCUUUUGCUAUGCAAUAAAGAUGUAGCAGUUUAAUCUCUCA
rnacentral:lncRNA from 1 species